UGGGGAAUUUUGGACAAUGGGCGAAAGCCUGAUCCAGCAAUGCCGCGUGUGUGAAGAAGGCCUUCGGGUUGUAAAGCACUUUUGUCCGGAAAGAAAUCCUUGGCUCUAAUACAGUCGGGGGAUGACGGUACCGGAAGAAUAAGCACCGGCUAACUACGUGCCAGCAGCCGCGGUAAUACGUAGGGUGCAAGCGUUAAUCGGAAUUACUGGGCGUAAAGCGUGCGCAGGCGGUUUGCUAAGACCGAUGUGAAAUCCCCGGGCUCAACCUGGGAACUGCAUUGGUGACUGGCAGGCUAGAGUAUGGCAGAGGGGGGUAGAAUUCCACGUGUAGCAGUGAAAUGCGUAGAGAUGUGGAGGAAUACCGAUGGCGAAGGCAGCCCCCUGGGCCAAUACUGACGCUCAUGCACGAAAGCGUGGGGAGCAAACAGGAUUAGAUACCCUGGUAGUCCACGCCCUAAACGAUGUCAACUAGUUGUUGGGGAUUCAUUUCCUUAGUAACGUAGCUAACGCGUGAAGUUGACCGCCUGGGGAGUACGGUCGCAAGAUUAAAACUCAAAGGAAUUGACGGGGUCAUAGCUUUUUCC
rnacentral:rRNA from 1 species